AGUGAACGCUGGCGGUAGGCUAAACACAUGCAAGUCGAACGGCAGCACAGUAAGAGCUUGCUCUUACGGGUGGCGAGUGGCGGACGGGUGAGGAAUACAUCGGAAUCUACUUUUUCGUGGGGGAUAACGUAGGGAAACUUACGCUAAUACCGCAUCCGACCUACGGGUGAAAGCAGGGGAUCUUCGGACCUUGCGCGAUUGAAUGAGCCGAUGUCGGAUUAGUUAGUUGGCGGGGUAAAGGCCCACCAAGGCGACGAUCCGUAGCUGGUCUGAGAGGAUGAUCGGCCACACUGGAACUGGGACACGGUCCAGACUCCUACGGGAGGCAGCAGUGGGGAAUAUUGGACAAUGGGCGCAAGCCUGAUCCAGCCAUACCGCGUGUGUGAAGAAGGCCUUCGGGUUGUAAAGCCCUUUUGUUGGGAAAGAAAAGCAGCAGGUUAAUACCCCGCGGUUCUGACGGUACCCGGAGAAUAAGCACCGGCUAACUUCGUG
rnacentral:rRNA from 1 species